AAGCACAUGGUUUUUAAAAUCACAAAAAGAUAUUUUUGUCUUGAAAAAAGUUUUCUCUGAAAGCUUUUUUAAAAGCUGCUCAGUCCUAGCACUUAAGGUCUAAGAAACAAAAUUUUCAUUCCUAAAACUCUUUUUCCCCACUCCUUCCUUCUGUAACACUGUGAGAAGAAUUCAAAAGGGAGCCUUGCUUUUAUUCAGAAAAGGUCAGUUUCUUUUAAAAGAGCAUAAAAGAGACUAGUUAAAACUAAUAUAUAUAUAAAGCACUUUUAAAACUUAUGGGAAGCUUGGCUUCCCAAUUUUAGUCUCAGUACUUGUUAGGUAAGGAUCCAGUGAAUUUCAGACUCCUGGUUAUGGAAAGAAGGCCUAAGCAUCUUUAACAUUUUUUUUUUCCUGAAUAAUUAACAUGCUGAAAUAAACAAAUGAACAUACAUACUGAGAAAGACUUACUUCUC
rnacentral:lncRNA from 1 species